rnacentral:rRNA from 2 species
UUAGCAUAUCAAUAAGCGGAGGAAAAGAAACCAACAGGGAUUCCCCUAGUAACGGCGAGUGAAGCGGGAACAGCUCAAAUUUGAAAUCUGGCCCUUGGGUCCGAGUUGUAAUUUGCAGAGGAUGCUUUUGGUGCGGUGCCUUCCGAGUUCCCUGGAACGGGACGCCUUAGAGGGUGAGAGCCCCGUACGGUUGGCCACCAAGCCUGUGUAAAGCUCCUUCGACGAGUCGAGUAGUUUGGGAAUGCUGCUCAAAAUGGGAGGUAUAUUUCUUCUAAAGCUAAAUACUGGCCAGAGACCGAUAGCGCACAAGUAGAGUGAUCGAAAGAUGAAAAGCACUUUGAAAAGAGGGUUAAAUAGCACGUGAAAUUGUUGAAAGGGAAGGAUUUAUGACCAGACUUUUUCUGGGGGGAUCAUCCGGUGUUCUCACCGGUGCACUUCCCCCAGUUGAGGCCAGCAUCGGUUUCUGCCGGGGGAUAAAAGCUUUGGGAAUGUGGCUCCUUCGGGAGUGUUAUAGCCCGUUGCAUAAUACCCUGGCGGGGACCGAGGUUCGCGCAUUGCAAGGAUGCUGGCGUAAUGGUUAUUAAUCACCCGUCUUGAAACACGGACCAAGGAGUCGAACAUUUGUGCGAGUGUUUGGGUGUUAAACCCUCACGCGUAAUGAAAGUGAACGGAGGUGAGAGCCUUUAGGGGUGCAUCAUCGACCGAUCCUGAUGUCUUCGGAUGGAUUUGAGUAAGAGCAUAACUGUUCGGACCCGAAAGAUGGUGAACUAUGCGUGGAUAGGGUGAAGCCAGAGGAAACUCUGGUGGAGGCUCGCAGCGGUUCUGACGUGCAAAUCGAUCGUCAAAUCUGCGCAUGGGGGCGAAAGACUAAUCGAACCAUCUAGUAGCUGGUUACCGCCGAA